GGCCGCGUAGCUCAACUGAAUAGAGCAUUUGACUACGGAUCAAAAGGUUGCAGGUUUGAAUCCUGCCGCGGUCACAA
rnacentral:tRNA from 2 species